GACAGAGGUGCCGAGCGUUAGGCGGAAUCACUGGGCUUAAAGCGUGUGUAGGCGGGCCGUUAAGUGCCCCGUGAAAUCCCCCGGCUCAACCGGGGAACGGCGGGGCAUACUGGCGGCCUUGAGCCACUUAAGGGCAGACGGAACAAGCGGUGGAGCGGUGAAAUGCGUAGAUAUCGUAAGGAAGACCAGUGGCGAAGGCGGGUCUCUGGACAGUUCCUGACGCUGAGGCACGAAGGCCAGGGGAGCAAACGGG
rnacentral:rRNA from 1 species